UACGUAGGGGGCAAGCGUUGUCCGGAUUUAUUGGGCGUAAAGAGCGUGUAGGCGGCCAGACAGGUCAGCUGUGAAAACUCGAGGCUCAACCUCGAGACGUCGGUUGAAACCGUCUGGCUAGAGUCCGGAAGAGGAGAGUGGAAUUCCCGGUGUAGCGGUGAAAUGCGCAGAUAUCGGGAAGAACACCCGUGGCGAAGGCGGCUCUCUGGGCCUUUCCUGACGCUGAGACGCGAAAGCGUGGGGAGCGAACCGG
rnacentral:rRNA from 1 species